rnacentral:ncRNA from 1 species
AGGCUGAGUUAGUGAUCGGCUUUGGGCGAAUUUGAAAAUCUAUCGGAGAUUAUAUAAUGUCACUAAGUACUGAAGCUAAGAAGCAGAUUGUUGCUGAAUAUGCACGU